rnacentral:rRNA from 1 species
AGUGAACGCUGGCGGUAGGCCUAACACAUGCAAGUCGAACGGCAGCACAGUAAGAGCUUGCUCUUACGGGUGGCGAGUGGCGGACGGGUGAGGAAUACAUCGGAAUCUACUUUUUCGUGGGGGAUAACGUAGGGAAACUUACGCUAAUACCGCAUACGACCUACGGGUGAAAGCAGGGGAUCUUCGCACCUUGCGCGAUUGAAUGAGCCGAUGUCGGAUUAGCUAGUUGGCGGGGUAAAGGCCCACCAAGGCGACGAUCCGUAGCUGGUCUGAGAGGAUGGUCGGCCACACGGGAACUGAGACACGGUCCAGACUCCUACGGGAGGCAGCAGUGGGGAAUAUUGGACAGUGGGCGCAAGCCUGAUCCAGCCAUACCGCGUGGGUGAAGAAGGCCUUCGGGUUGUAAAGCCCUUUUGUUGGGAAAGAAAAGCAGCAGGUUAAUACCCCGCUGUUCCGACGGUACCCAAAGAAUAAGCACCGGCUAACUUCGUG